rnacentral:rRNA from 1 species
UACGAAGGGGGCUAGCGUUGCUCGGAAUCACUGGGCGUAAAGCGCACGUAGGCGGCUUGUUAAGUCAGGGGUGAAAUCCUGGAGCUCAACUCCAGAACUGCCUUUGAUACUGGCGAGCUUGAGUUCGGGAGAGGUGAGUGGAACUGCGAGUGUAGAGGUGAAAUUCGUAGAUAUUCGCAAGAACACCAGUGGCGAAGGCGGCUCACUGGCCCGAUACUGACGCUGAGGUGCGAAAGCGUGGGGAGCAAACAGGGAUUAAGAAACCCUGGUA